rnacentral:lncRNA from 1 species
AGCACUUUCUGAGAAGCCCCGUGCAGCUGCUAACAGUGACUGCCUAGGGGAAAAUGGACUUGAAGGAGUAGAGGCCAACUUUUCAUUUUAUACCUUUCUAUACUUUUUAGGACUACCACCUAUGUACGUGCAUUUUAUUUUUGUUAAAUGUUCGCAGGGGAUAUCUGGCAGGACAAGGAACUGGCUGGAAAGGGGCGCGAGGAGAUCUUCUGGGUGACGGAGAUCCAGGUGGUGGUUACUCAGAUAGCUCCAGCUGGGCAAAGUGGCAGCUCUGUGGGCUCCAACGGAAGAGGCCAAAAGGCCCAUCCUCCUCCUGUCCCCUGGGUUCAAUUCACAGCCCUGCCUGUCUCUAGCUGUGUGAUCCUGGACGUGCCUCUCUGCUUCCUCAGCUCCUGCUUCAAGACAGGCCUAACCAAAUUUUGAGAAGUCCCCAGCAGAGCUCCCGACCCUAAUCAGAGAAGAAGAAUGAAUGUUCUGAGUGGGUACCACAUGGCAGGUGCUAUUCUAAAUACUGAACAGCUGUGAACCCAUUUAAUCCCCGUAAGAAACUGGUGAGCUUGGUUUCAUUUGACUCAAGAGGCCCAGAGACGAAAGCAACUGGUCCAGGGUCACACAGCCAGCAGGAAGUGGAUCAGGGUUGGAACCUGGGCAGUCUGGCCCUGAAGCGCUGCAGAAAGUAUUAUUUUGGGAGCAAAUAGGUAAUAGGUGGUGAGAGCCACCUAAAAAUACCCCUCCUCUCUGGCCCAGUAACCACUUCUAGAAAUCUGCCCUAAACAAGUAACUCAAAUAAAGCGAAAGCUGAGAUACACGACGGUC